rnacentral:lncRNA from 1 species
UUGGUUCAAUUUUGAACUAACCAACGUCCUACAAAUAAAAUGGGAGGGAGUAUGAGUCAGGCCAAUUAACUUAUGUUCAACAUACCGCAAAUAGUUGUAAAAUAACUGGAGCAAUCAGACACAACAUCGUUGAAGCUGUUAAUAUAGCCUUGAAGACCAUCGGACUUUCCAUGGCCCUCAUAAUCCAACCCAUGCACCACAAAUCCAGCCUCUGCCAAGCGCCUGCCUGUGCCUGAGUGAUCAAUAAUCC